GGAGGGUUUUCACAAGUGAAAAUAAUUCAGCAAUGGCUCGAGGUAGUAGUGGUGGGUGGGGAAAGGCAGAGAGAAGUGGAUAGAGGCGAGGCUGCCGGCGCCUCGCAAAGACUAUUCCAGAAUCUUCUAAACCAGAGCUUUUGUUUAUAGAAGAAGCAAGAGUAACUAUAAACAUCAGGAGAAGUUCAGUAGAGGUUUUCUACUGGGAAAGGACAGAGUUCACUUGUGUGAAUUAUGCAAUUCAGACUAGCCAAUCAGACUCUGCUUCUUCCUACCCACGCUGUUGGAUCAGAGAUAAGAGCUUUCUCCAAUUCAGUCUGAAGAGAGACUCUAAGAUUAAGUUCUCUGACUCUUUAUCUAAAAUUUUGAGGAAGGGACACUUUUUUUAGCUGGAAUUGUUAAGAGGAUGGGCUGAAUGUAGAGCCCUCAGCAACCAUCUAAUUUGGUGAGCCUACCAGCAAUGGAAACAACACAGAGAUAAAGCAAAGCUAAGAGAUGGAAAGACCUCUAAGAAGGCCCAAGAAUUUCCACCAUAAAGCUGAUUAAGACUGAACUUUUCAGUGCACAAGAAAUAGAAGUACUGAUCUUGGUCACCAGUGUGUUCAAGACGAAGAAUGAAUGCCUCUGGCACAAGAAUCCAAAUCCAUACAGGAGAGGAAUCAAGGUUUCCACUGGAGAGAGCCUGUGUUUACUCAUAACAAAUAAAUUAUGGAAUAUAUUCACUUA